rnacentral:antisense_RNA from 1 species
AAAACUGAGGAAGAAAACUGACAGGGUUUUCAAGGGAAUUUCCAGGUCACCCAGAGAACUCGCCUGGCCUUGUUCUACUUCCUACAAGUCUCUGAGCACUUCAUGCUUUACUAGAAUCUUGUAAAUACAAAAAAAAAAAAAAAAAAAGAAAAAGACACAACAAGUCAACAAUGUUUAGCAUCACUAAAAAGAAUGUACUUUGGUGAAAGGCUGAGAAUCUAUGAUGGCCGGUGAGCUGGUAUGAUUCAUACAAAGUUCUAUGUCUCACUAGUCUCUCCAAAUCAUGGUUCUUCACGAGGGAGCCCUUCUUCAGGCUGUUCUUCCGCUCCACGUAGUUGGACGGCACAUAGCCCGUCCUGUUGGCCGCGUUCCUCACCCGCCACCACGUCUUGGAGUCAUCCAGCAACCACAGCCGCUCGUUCUUCUUGAUGUCCAGCUCCUGGUCCUGCUGGGCGGUGUAGUCCCACUUGGCUAUCACAAUAACUUCUUCUGUCAUCUUUCAUGGAGUCCUUCUGCCAGCAAAACAUUUGGAGAUGCUCAUUAGAGAACUACCCGGACACUUCAUCCUUUGCACCAACU